AGGGUAUUAUUGGUUGAACAAACCAUCUUUAUGCGACUUUUGCGCCACAUAGAUUCCCUAAGCCAACAUCGAGGUGCCAACCCCCAUUAUUGAUAAGGACUCUUUAAUAGGAUUAGCCUGUUAUCCCUAAGGUAGCUUGUUCUUGUGAUCUUUAUUAAGGGUCAGUAAUUAGAUUUAUUUAUCUUUUAAUAAGGGAUGAUUAAUUUUCCCUGGUCGCCCCAACCGAAUUUUAUUAAAGUUUAUAUCUAUAUUAAAAUGAAGCUCUAUAGGGUCUUCUUGUCCUUCGAUUAAAUCUAACAAUCUUCAGUUAGAUAUUAAUUUUUAUAGGGCUUGUAGAGACAGUUUUUAUUUCGUUGGUCCGUUCAUUCUAGCCCACAAUUAAUGGGCAAGUGAUUAUGCUACCUUUGCACGGUUAGGAUACCGCGGCCGUUGAAUAAUAUCACUGGGCAGGAAUUACUUCUUAUUUUUUACAAGAAGCA
rnacentral:rRNA from 1 species